UCGAACGAGAAAGUGGAGCAUCCAUGAGUAAAGUGGCGUACGGGUGAGUAACACGUGGGUGAUCUACCUCUUAGUGAGGAAUAACCCUGGGAAACCGGGGCUAAUACCGCAUAAGCCUUAGCAGGGAAAGUCGAAAGACGCUGAGAGAGCAGCCCGCGGCCGAUUAGCUAGUUGGUGAGGUAAGAGCCCACCAAGGCAGAGAUCGGUAGCCGGCCUGAGAGGGCACACGGCCACACUGGCACUGAAACACGGGCCAGACUCCUACGGGAGGCAGCAGUGGGGAAUCUUGCACAAUGGGGGAAACCCUGAUGCAGCGACGCCGCGUGAGCGAUGAAGCCCUUCGGGGUGUAAAGCUCUUUCGGCAGGGACGAUAAUGACGGUACCUGCAGAAGCAGCUGCGGCUAACUACGUGCCAGCAGCCGCGGUAAUACGUAGGCAGCAAGCGUUGUUCGGAGUUACUGGGCGUAAAGGGUGCGUAGGCGGCUUUUUAAGUUUGGUGUGAAAUCUCCCGGCUCAACUGGGAGGGUGCGCCGAAUACUGAGAGGCUAGAGUGUGGGAGAGGAAAGUGGAAUUCCUGGUGUAGCGGUGAAAUGCGUAGAUAUCAGGAGGAACACCUGUGGUGUAAACGGCUUUCUGGACCAUAACUGACGCUGAGGCACGAAAGCGUGGGUAGCAAACAGGAUUAGAUACCCUGGUAGUCCACGCCCUAAACGAUGCAUAUUUUGGUGUGGGCAAUUCAUUUUGUCUGUGCCGGAGCUAACGCGUUAAAUAU
rnacentral:rRNA from 1 species